rnacentral:rRNA from 1 species
CACGUAGGGCGCGAGCGUUGUCCGGAAUUAUUGGGCGUAAAGAGCUCGUAGGCGGUCUGUUGCGUCUGCUGUGAAAACUCGGGGCUUAACCCCGAGCCUGCAGUGGAUACGGGCAGACUAGAGGUAGGUAGGGGAGAAUGGAAUUCCCGGUGUAGCGGUGAAAUGCGCAGAUAUCGGGAGGAACACCGGUGGCGAAGGCGGGUCUCUGGGCCGGAUACUGACGCUGAGACGCGAAAGCGUGGGGAGCGAACAGG